CAAGAGCCCCGAAAAGGGCCUUCGACC
rnacentral:rRNA from 10 species